GAUGAACGCUGGCGGCGUGCCUAAUACAUGCAAGUCGAGCGAACGGACGAGAAGCUUGCUUCUCUGAUGUUGGCGGCGGACGGGUGAGUAACACGUGGAUAACCUACCUAUAAGACUGGGAUAACUUCGGGAAACCGGAGCUAAUACCGGAUAAUAUUUUGAACCGCAUGGUUCAAAAGUGAAAGACGGUCUUGCUGUCACUUAUAGAUGGAUCCGCGCUGCAUUAGCUAGUUGGUAAGGUAACGGCUUACCAAGGCAACGAUGCAUAGCCGACCUGAGAGGGUGAUCGGCCACACUGGAACUGAGACACGGCCCAGACUCCUACGGGAGGCAGCAGUAGGGAAUCUUCCGCAAUGGGCGAAAGCCUGACGGAGCAACGCCGCGUGAGUGAUGAAGGUCUUCGGAUCGUAAAACUCUGUUAUUAGGGAAGAACAUAUGUGUAAGUAACUGUGCACAUCUUGACGGUACCUAAUCAGAAAGCCACGGCUAACUACGUG
rnacentral:rRNA from 1 species